GCAUUACAACACGUAGAUUUUAUUUAUUUUUUGUUUAUUAUCUUUUUAAUUCAUUUAUCUUUUUUAGGUGGAUGAUUAUAAAGCUUAAGCGAGUCACUCAGGUUUGUGGGCCGCGGGAAGGCAACUCCGCGGGGAGGCGUGCCAGACUUGUGGGGUGGUUGCUACCCUCUUUGUAAAUUAUGUUUGCUAUCGUCUUAUCUUUAACAUUAAUACUUAUGGCGAUAAUCUAUAGUGACAUGACAGGAGAUCAUAACUGUAGCUUCCUUGCGCCAGGCCACACGUCGUCGUCAGCCGACCGAGAAAAGUACUUGUCAACAAUACAGCGCCGUGAUGUUUACUGAUUAAGGACUUGAGGUUAAUGGAGCCAAGUACGGGAGGUGUGGAAGACACCCGCUGACAUUCGAGGAUUGCACAAAUAAACUGGCAGAAAGACAAGAAAAGCAAGGAAGACGAUCAUUGCAGAGGUGUCAACCACUCACGCACCCAGUCAGCCAGCCACCCACCCACCCAGUCAGCCAGCCAGCCAGCCACCCACCCAGUCAGCCAGCCACCCACCAACCCAGCCAGCCAGCCAGCCAGUCAUUGAGGAAAGUCAAGUCAAGAGUCCCAGAAUGCUGCUAAGGAGACAAACUUGCCAGGAACGCUGCACCAGGAAGGCAAACCACAACAACACCAGAAGCGAUGAACAACACUCAAAGUAACACAAGACGUGGAGAGAAUUUUUUUUUAUUAUUUAGCCGAGUUGAAAUUUGUUUAGCUGAGUUGAAAAUUUGUUUACUUUUUAUAUUAAGUUGAAAAUUGUUGAAAAUUUAGACUUUUCAUCAGUUUUUGUAUCAAGUUGAAAAUUUGUAUAGAUUUUUUAGUAUUUUUACUUGUUUUUAUAUACUUGUAUGAAUAUUAAGUUGAAAGUUUGUAUACUUGCAUAAAUAUUAAGUUGAAAGUUUGUGUAGACUUUUUCAAUGUUUUAUACUGUGUGUAGACUUUUCAGUGUUUUUUUAGACUUUAUUAAGUUGAAAAUUUGCGUAGACUUUUCAGUGU